GGAAAGGCCCUUUCGGGGGUACUCGAGUGGCGAACGGGUGAGUAACACGUGGGUGAUCUGCCCUGCACUUUGGGAUAAGCCUGGGAAACUGGGUCUAAUACCGAAUAUACCCUGCUGGUCGCAUGGCCUGGUGGGGGAAAGCUUUUGCGGUGUGGGAUGGGCCCGCGGCCUAUCAGCUUGUUGGUGAGGUUAUGGCUCACCAAGGCGACGACGGGUAGCCGGCCUGAGAGGGUGACCGGCCACACUGGGACUGAGAUACGGCCCAGACUCCUACGGGAGGCAGCAGUGGGGAAUAUUGCACAAUGGGCGCAAGCCUGAUGCAGCGACGCCGCGUGAGGGAUGACGGCCUUCGGGUUGUAAACCUCUUUCAGUGCCGACGAAGCGUAAGUGACGGUAGGCACAGAAGAAGGACCGGCCAACUACGUGCCAGCAGCCGCGGUAAUACGUAGGGUCCGAGCGUUGUCCGGAAUUACUGGGCGUAAAGAGCUCGUAGGUGGUUUGUCGCGUUGUUCGUGAAAACUCACAGCUUAACUGUGGGCGUGCGGGCGAUACGGGCAGACUGGAGUACUGCAGGGGAGACUGGAAUUCCUGGUGUAGCGGUGGAAUGCGCAAAUUCAGGAGGAACACCGGUGGCGAAGGCGGGUCUCUGGGCAGUAACUGACGCUGAAGGACGAAAGCGUGGGGAGCGACAGAAUAGAUACCCUGGUAGUCCACGCCGUAAACGGGGGUCUAGGGGUGGGUUUCCUUCCUUGGGAUCCGUGCCGUAG
rnacentral:rRNA from 1 species